rnacentral:rRNA from 1 species
UACGUAGGGGGCAAGCGUUGUCCGGAAUCAUUGGGCGUAAAGCGCGUGUAGGCGGCUCGAUAAGUCUGCUGUAAAAGUCCAGGGCUCAACCCUGGAAAGCCGGUGGAAACUGUCGAGCUAGAGUCCGGAAGAGGCGAGUGGAAUUCCUGGUGUAGCGGUGAAAUGCGCAGAUAUCAGGAGGAACACCAAUGGCGAAGGCAGCUCGCUGGGACGGUACUGACACUGAGACGCGAAAGCGUGGGGAGCAAACAGG